AGCGUUGUUCGGAAUUACUGGGCGUAAAGCGCGCGUAGGCGGUUUUUUAAGUCAGAGGUGAAAGCCCGGGGCUCAACCCCGGAAUAGCCUUUGAAACUGGAAGACUUGAAUCUUGGAGAGGUCAGUGGAAUUCCGAGUGUAGAGGUGAAAUUCGUAGAUAUUCGGAAGAACACCAGUGGCGAAGGCGACUGACUGGACAAGUAUUGACGCUGAGGUGCGAAAGCGUGGGGAGCAAACAGGUUUAGAUACCCUGGUAGUCCACGCCGUAAACGAUGAUAACUAGCUGUCCGGGCUCAUAGAGCUUGGGUGGCGCAGCUAACGCAUUAAGUUAUCCGCCUGGGGAGUACGGUCGCAAGAUUAAAACUCAAAGGAAUUGACGGGGGCCUGCACAAGCGGUGGAGCAUGUGGUUUAAUUCGAAGC
rnacentral:rRNA from 1 species